UUGUGUAAGCCUUCCAUGCAUUUUUAAGCUUUGCUUUUAUUUUGUAAAUGUACACGUUAAUAGAGAAUAAACAUUAUUAACCUGUUUAUUCUAAUAUUAAUUGCCUAAAUUCCUUAGAAUUGUCUUUAUUUUUUAAUAGUAUAGUGACCAAAAGUAAUACUAUUGUUUAACCUUAGUAAGCAAAAUAAAGUCCCAGUGUCUCUGACAGCUUGGCACAGGGUUUCAUUUGAGACCAUAAAUCCUACUCUGCCUAUAGUCUCUGUCAUACUUGGUAACCACCCAAAUAAUUUAUCCCUUCUCGCAGCCUCAUUCCCACACCUUCUCCAUCUGCUAAUCUUCUCACUAUCUGCCUUCUUCUGGAAACUGUAAACUCUUUCUCUAGACUCCCCAUAUGUAAACCCCUCUAUAUCUCUUUUUUUAAUUUUUACAUAUAUAUUUUUAUUAUACUUUAAGUUCUAGGGUACAUGUGCACAACGUGCAGGUUUGUUACAUAUGUAUACAUGUGCCAUGUUGGUGUGCUGCACCCAUUAACUUGUCAUUUACAUUAGGUAUAUCUCCUAAUGCUAUCCCUCCCCCCUCCCCCCACCCCACAACAGGCCCCGGUGUGUGAUGUUCCCUUUCCUAUGUCCAAGUGUUCUCAUUGUUCAAUUCCCAUAUGGAAUACUAUGCAGCCAUAAAAAAUGAUGAGUUCAUGUCCUUUAUAGGGACAUGGAUGAAGCUGGAAACCAUCAUUCUCAGCAAACUAUCGCAAGGACAAAAAACCAAACACCGCAUGUUCUCACCCCUCUGUAUCUUUAUAUCUUCUUGUUCACAAAACAUUCCUCCUUGUGAUAUUGGGUACCUGGCUCUCUCCCGAAGACACUGCUUUCCCAGCAGUUCACCACAGCAAAAGCCAUGCCUGCCCACACCCCCCACCCCCUGCCCGGAGGUGGUAUCUGUAUUCGCCAUCUCCUCAUGGCCAUUGCUAGGCCAUUCCAUUCCACUCUUGUAAAACUUACCAGAAACCCUUCCCUAAUGAGCCCUUUUCCCUCUCCUCACUGGUAUUUACCAGCUGCCUGGUCACUCAUGUUCAUUAAGGAAUUUAGUACCCAACUCAGUCUUUUUUUUUUUUUUUUUUUUUUUUUUUUGAGACGGAGUCUCUGUCAGCCCAGCUUGGAGUGCAGUGGUGUGAUCUCAGCUUACUGCAACCUCUGCCUUCCAGGUUCAAGCGAUUCUCCUGCCUCAGCCUCCCGAGUAGCUGGGACUAGAGGCGUGCACCACCACGCCCAGCUAAUUUUUGUAUUUUUAGGAGAGGCAGGGUUUCACCAUGUUGGCCAGGCUGGUCUUGAACUCCUGGACUGCAGGUGAUCCACCCGCCUCGGCCUCCCAAAGUGCUGGGAUUACAGGCGUGAGCCACUGUGCCUGGCCAGUCUUUCUUUCAUACUCAAUCGCUACAAGGUUCUGAGGGAACUAAAGCAGUCGUGUGCAUCACAGGUCCAGCACCCCAUAUUCCCUUAACUUACUGCCAUGACUGACUGCAGGACCGUAACAUCUAAGACUGUUCCAUAUUAACAAUCAUGAACUCUAGUAUCUUCUCAUCUUCCUGUUUCUUUCAUCUCUUCCUCUCCCUUAUUCUAUUAUACUUAAUCCCUGACCUCAUGAAGACGCUGUCGCUUGAUGACUAUUUAGUCAUCAUCAGCCUCUACCUACAUUGACUUUCUUCCUUGUCUAGCCCACACUCCUUAUUUUAUUAUUUACCCACAUCAGUAUCCACAGUUUCUUUGCCUUUUGUGUUUCUUCCACUUUUGUCCAGCAUACCUAUUAUUCUAGUUUAGCCUAGCCAUUUGCUUUCUCUCCUCAUAUAGAAAGGUAAUUGUAUUAGUGAAAAUCAUGUAACCAGAUUAUUGCCAUGAUGAUAUGGCACAGUCCAUAAUGUAGCUCAGCCAUUCUUCUUUCUCACCCACAGCUGCUAUUCUAACUUUUAUCGUUCCUUAAACCCUCUACUCUGCUUUUGACCUUGUGCUUUUCAGCAGCUGGCUUUGCUUUUUCAGAGGAAACAGAGACUCUCAGACAUGAAUACUGUGACACUGACCACAGGCCAACUUAACAUCAGCAGAUAUCCUGUCUCAGAUGAAGAGUAAUCUUGGAAUGGGUGUCUGGGGUUCAGAUGAAGAUACAAAUCCCCCAACCAAUAAUUCUAUGGAAGAAUCCAGAGAAUGGCCUCCAAAUAAAGACUUUCAUGGGAAUCUUGGUACCGAUAAUUGCAGAGGCAGAAGUCAGAGAAUGGCCUGUCCAGAAGACAGCCAAACACAUCCUUCAAAUAGACUUCACUGCAGGAGACAGAGCAGAUUCAUCCCGUAUUCUCCACAUGGACUUCCAUCUUCAUGAGUACUCCAAGAAGAUGGUUCAGUUGACUAUUGCAAAGGUAAAAAUCCAAGAGAUACAGAUACAGAAUAGGACAGAGAGACAUAUUUUUAAGCUAUUGAUUACAAUUAUGGUAUGCCUAUAGAUUGCAGACCCGAAGAGAAAGGGAACAUUAUGAUUUACCUUCAAGAAAAACUUAGAAUUGGUGCUGUAGUUCAUUCUAAGAAUUAUCAUUUAUCUGUAUUUGCCCCCCUUUUCAUUGUUACUAGGCCAAAAGUCAUUUCAUAAUUAAUAAGUUGGAUGUCAAAAUCAACUUGUUAUUAUAAAAUUAUCAAUCUACAUUAUGUGUUUCUUUACAUUUUUUAUAGGAGUAUUUAUAAAUAUACCUAAGAAAACUGACAAUGUGGAGUACAAAUGUUGCAUUUUCAAAACUGAACUCUGUUUAUUGAGGCUCUAUUUUUAGUUAUGUAUGAUAAUAGAUUGCAUUUCAGGUUUCAAACCUUGUAAAAAAUAAUUUCCUUAUGAUAUGUUUACUCAUUUUGCAAAUAAUUAUUGUGGCAUAUGGCAAGAGAUUGUACUUCCAUUCAGCUGGUUAAAGUACAAAAUCACUGAUAUGGUUUGGCUGUAUCCCCACCCAAAUCUCAACUUGAAUUGUACCUUCCAGAAUUCCCACAGGACCCAGAGGGAGGUAAUUGAAUCAAGGGGGCUGAUCUUUCCCAUGCUAUUCUUGUGAUAGUGAAUGAGUCUCACGAGAUCUGAUGGGUUUAUCAGGGGUUUCUGCUUUUGCUGCUUCUUCAUUUUUCUCUUGCUGCUGCCAUGUAAGAAAUGCCUUUUACCUCCUGCCAUGAUUCUGAGGCCUCCUCAGCCAGGUGGAACCGUAAGUCCAAUUAAACCUCUUUUUGUUCCCAGUCUCAAGUAUGUCUUUAUCAGCAGCAUGAAAACGGACUAAUAGUACCAGUAGAGUUGGACAUUGCUGAAAAGAUACCCAAAAAUGUGGAAGCAACUUUGGAACUGGGUGUUGAAAUAAACUGGAGGGCUCAGAAGAAGAUAGGAAAAUGUGGGAAAGUUUGGAACCUCCUAGAAACUUGUUGAAUGGCAUUGACAAAAAUACUGAUAGUGAUAUGAACAAUAAGGUCCAGGCUGAGGUGGUCUCAGAUGGAGAUGAAGACCUUGUUGGGAACUGAAGUAAAGGUGACUCUUAUUAUGUGUUAGCAAGGAGACUGGCGGCAUUUCACCCCUGCCCUAGAGAUUUGUGGAACUUUGAGCUUGAGAGAGAUGAUUUAGGGUAACUGGUGGAAUAAAUUUCUAAGCAGCAAAGCAUUCAAAAGAUGACUUGGGUGCUGUUAAAAACAUUCUGUUUUAAAAGGGAAACAAGAGCCUAAAAGUUUGGAAAAUUUGCAGCCUGAUGAUGCAGUAGAAAAGAAAAACCCAUUUUUUUUUUUAAGGAGAAAUUCAAGCUGGCUGCAGAAAUUUGCAUAAGCAGCAAGGAGCCUAAUGUUAAUCCCCAAGACCAUGGGGAAAAUGUCUCCAGGUCAUGUCAGAGACCUUCAUGACAGCCCCUCCCAUCACAGGCCCAGAGGCCCAGGAGGAAAAAGUGGUUUGUGGGCUGGGCCCAGGGUCUCUGUGCUGUGUGCAGCCUAGGGACUUGGUGCCCUGUGUCCCAGCUGCUCCAGCCAUGGCUGAAAGGAGCCAAUAUAGAGCUUGGGCUGUGGCUUCAGAGGGUAGAGGCCCCAAGCAUUGGCAGCUUCCAUGUGAUGUUGAACCUGCGGGUGCACAGAUGUCAAGAAUUGAGAUUUGGGAACCUCUGCCUAGAUUUCAGAAGAUAUAUGGAAACACCUGGAUGUCCAGGCAAAAGUUUGCUGCAGGGGCAGAGCCCUCAUAGAGAACCUCUCCUAGGGCAGUGUGGAAGGGAAAUGUGGGGCAGAGUCCCCACACAGAGUCCCUACUGGGGCACUGCCUAGUGGAGCUGUGAGAAGAAGGCCACAGUCCUAGAAUGGUAGGCCCCAGAAUGGUAGAUCAACGACCAACUUGCAUCUUGUGCCUGGAAAAGCCACAGACACUCAACAUCAGCCUGAGAAAGCAGCCAGGAGGGAGGCUGUACCCUGCAAAGCCACAGGGGCGGAGCUGCCCAAGACCAUGGGAACCUACCUCUUUUAUCAGCGUGACCUGAAUGUGAGACAUGGAGUCAAAGGAGAUCAUUUUGGAGCUUUAAAAUUUGACUGCCCCACUGGAUUUCAGACUUGCAUGGACUCUGUAACCCCUUUAUUUUGGCCAAUUUCUCUCAUUUGGAACAGCUGUAUUUACCCAAUACCUGUACCCCCCAUUGUAUCUAGGAGGUAACUAACUUGCUUUUACAUGCUUGUAAGUGGAAGGGACUUGCCUUGUCUCACAUGAGACUUUGGACUGUGGACUUUUGGGUUAAUGCUGAAAUGAGUUAAGACUUUGGGGAACUGUUGGGAAGGAAUGAUUGGUUUUGAAAUGUGAGGAUUAUGAAAUUUGGAGGAGCCCAGGGCGGAAUGAUAUGGUUUGGCUGUGUCCCCACCCAAAUCUCAACUUGAAUUUUAUCUCCCAGAAUUCCCACAUGUUGUGGGAGGGACCCAGGGGGAGGUAAUUGAAUCAUGGAGGCUGGUCUUUUCUGUGCUAUUCUCGUAAUAAUAAGUCCCACAAGAUCUGAUGGGUUUAUCAAGAGUUUCUGCUUUUGCUUCUUCCUCAUUUUUCUCUUGAUGCCACCAUGUAAGAAGUACCUUUUGCCUCCCACCUGAUUUUGAGGCCUCCCCAGCCAUGUGGAACUGUUUAAGUCCAAUUAAACCCUUUUUGUUCCCAGUGUCAGAUAUGUCUUUAUCAGCAGCAUGGAAACGAACUAAUACAAUCAUAGUUUUUAAAAACCAAUCUAAAUUUAACUCUUGAACAUGAUUAGCUGUUUCAUCCCUAGUAGAGUGACAGGAGAAGGAAACAUCCAUAGACAGGAAUAAUAAGAAACCAGCUAAACUUCUAAGCCAUUUUUAAAGGAUGUGUGUGAGCUGGCAUAACCUACCUACUCUUUCCUAUGGGCCUCUACUGAGAGCAUGGAGGUAAUACACCUAAUACACUGAAGGCCAGGGCAAGAGAGCUGGAAGAAAUCCCUCUUAAGCACUCCAGGCCUUCACUGAGUAUGAGGUGCUGGUCCCCAAAGGCAGAGGGCAAGGCAAGGCAGAGAGGGAUCUCCUGGGGCACAGACAACUGACAAAAGAAACACUUGGAUUGUUGUAUAAGAGGAGUGAGCUUUGUAAAUGCCACGUUAGCUGGCCCACUGUGGAACAGACUGCCUGUGAAUGACAGCAGUCAGGUAGUGAAUGAACACUGAUCUGAGAGCCUGUAAAAGAAACUCUUUGGAAUGAUAAUGUCAUCUAGACCUUUGAUACUCAAAGUGUGAUUCCUGGACAGAUGUAUUGGCUUUACCUGGCAGCUUGUUGGAAAUGUAGAACCUCAAGCCUCACCCCAGACCUACUGAAUUAUUUAUAUUAAUUAAAAUUAAAUAAUUUUUAUUUCAACAAAAUCCCUGGGUAAUUUGUAUGUACAUUAAAUUUUGAGAUGCAUGAUCUUUUAAGGUUCAUUUUAAUCCUUAAAAUUCUGUUUUAAUAAUGUGUACAAUGAAGUGCUGCAUGGCAAACUACACAGAAACUAAAGGCAUGUUCCAAAAAGGAAAAGUUCGAUGUAGCUAGAGGAAUAAAAGCUUCAUCAGGGAACCAGGAGUUGGGCUGGUUCUUAAAACCUGGAGGAAGAAGAUGGUUACAUCAAGAGAUAUAUAGAAUGAAGCAGAACUAGUGGUGUGGACCAGCUCACCAGCAACAGAAGGGUUUGUAGUUGGCCUGGCAGUGGACAGGGAGGUUGGCUAGAACUAUUACCUUAGGUCCUACUAAAAUAUCCCUGAAUCCAACUUUUCGGAAAGAAAUAGGUAACAUAUUUUGCACCAAGAAGCUUCACCCAGACACUGAACAGAAUGGUCUCAGUAAACUAAUGGAGGCUCAGGUAAAGGGUUGUGGUAGCACAAGGAAGAGACAUUUUGACUUGGAGAUUUGGAGAAGGCUUCACAAAUGAAGGGGCAUUUGAACUGAGCUUUGAAGGUGCAAGAGUAUUCGAAGUUGAGAAGACAACCUGAGUGGUGUUGGGUGAACAGUCAUUCUACCUGGCUAUAGUGUAGUACAGUGUAGUGUAGUGUAGUGUAGUGUAGUGUAGUGUAGUGUUGUGUAGUGUAGUGUAGUGUAGUGUAGUGUAGGAAACAUCAGAGGAGUGGAGUGGGAUGUGAACCUGGAGACAGCUGACAGCCAUGGAUCAUUGAAAGCCUUGAAUGUCUGCUGGGGAGGUUGACUUUAUUUUGUAGGCAAUGGAAAGCCACCAGUGGUUUUAGCUGAGGAGCAAUGAAAUUAAGCCUGUGCUUUGCAAAGAUUAAUCUAGCAGCAACAGAUUGGAAGCAACACCACCAUUCCUGGUAUCAGUCCAGGUGAAAUAUAUUACAGAUCUUUACUGGAGCAAUAACAGUAAUAUUAGAAGGAGAAAUAAAAAAGAAAAAUAUUGCAGAGGCAGAAUGGGGAGGUCCCAGUGAAGAAGCUGAUCUUGGUUAGUUGAGGCAGGGGUGGCAUUAAUCAUGUAAAACACAGGAGGAGGAACUGGGUUAGGAGUAAUGGUAGAGUUCAGUUUAGGUAAUUGCAAAUACACACUAUUCCCUGACUAGCUCCCAAGACUUUUUCUUCCCUCUCUUCUUAGAACUGCAUUAGAAGAGGUGAUGUUAUUUCUUAGAUGAGGGUAUCUUACUUACCAUUGACUAAUACAUGUUCUCUGAUGAACUUUGCUGUUCAACAUACAUGCAAAGGGGUUAUGAAAACAAAAAGUCAACUCUAGUGCUGAUGAGGGUGAUCAUCAUCACUGAUCCAUGGUGUCCGUUGAUUAUAGUGUCAAAUUAUAACUUAAUUUAUCUAAAAUAGAGCAAUGCAAAAGACAUAGCAAUCUUCACUUCAAAUGAAGAGUCUGGAAUGCCACUUUUCUAAAGAGAAGGCUCAUGGAGGCACCUCUCUCCUCACUAUUGAAAAAUCAUUAUACCUGUGAUAAAACUGAUUAUGUUCAGUUGUAUUAGAUUUGUAUGCAAAUAAAAAGUUGGGUAAUUAGCUAUACAUUGCCCUAAACGUAUAAAAUAAGAAAAAUAAAUAGAUGUAUGGUUUUUUAGGAAAUCUAACAGUUUAGAAUGCGAGGCUAAUGUGGGAGCUGCCAGAGCAUCCUGAUUAAGACUAUGGAAAGAAGUUGCAGACUGAUGACAUCUUAGAAGUAAUGACUUUU